AGAAUCCCCAAACCUGAUUCAGGAACCCCCAUUUGGCUGGAAUCCAGGUCUCUACAAGACUAAGGGAAUUCUUCAGACUGCUGAAGAUGGAGAAACAGACCAGAGACAGGAGGGGACUGGCCAGAUUUCAUGUAAACAGUUAAUGGCAGAGCUAGUAAGAGGGUACCAGAGGAAACCAGUGGGCUUCCUCCUUCUCUGAGCCAUUCCCAAGGCCUCCAGGGACCAUGAAAAUUCGGAACUCACGAAACACGAAAAAAAUCCUGAGAUGGCUGCUGUCAGUAACAAAGACAUUUCUGGGCAAGGUGGUUUGGCUUUAGUCAAGUUUGAGUUCUCACUGUAGAUUAAUUUCGUAUGACAUUUCAAUGAAUUAUUGAAAAUGCAGCACUCGUGCGGAUGGUAAACAUAACUAGAUCUAUACAUGUAAACCAAUAAGAAGGCAUGUGACAGCCGGUAAGCAAGCUGCGGUGUAACUAGUCCCCAGCCCCCAGAGAAAUCAGCAACAAUAGGGCCCGCAUGGUACGUGUGCACUUUGACCCCCAAAGCAAAUGUUACCUUCUUGUGUAAACAGACUCAAUCCCGGAGCACAGGGUCAGCGAAGAUUUCAGAAAGAAUUCCGUCUACCUCUCUUGCUUGGUGCCACAAUCCCCACCGCAGUAAAACUCAUUGAAAGACUACUGUAGAGUACCAUGUAUAAGGCAGCCCGGGGGCACUUGCUAAGGC